AGUGGCGCACGGGUGAGUAACGCGUGGGAACAUACCUAGUAGUAUGGAACAACAGUUAGAAAUGACUGCUAAUACCAUAUACGCCCUCCGGGGGAAAGAUUUAUCGCUAUUAGAUUGGCCCGCGUGACAUUAGCUAGUUGGUGAGGUAACGGCUCACCAAGGCGACGAUGUCUAGCUGGUUUGAGAGGAUGAUCAGCCACACUGGAACUGAGACACGGUCCAGACUCCUACGGGAGGCAGCAGUGGGGAAUAUUGGACAAUGGGCGAAAGCCUGAUCCAGCCAUACCGCGUGAGUGAUGAAGGCCCUAGGGUUGUAAAGCUCUUUCAUUGGUGAAGAUAAUGACGGUAACCAAAGAAGAAGCCCCGGCUAACUUCGUGCCAGCAGCCGCGGUAAUACGAAGGGGGCUAGCGU
rnacentral:rRNA from 1 species